CUCUGCGUGUGUCUAAAACUGCAAUCGAGUCAAAUCAACUGUCAUCCCGACACUAGCUCGCCUUUGGGAAACAUAACAAUUAGUUCAAAUCUUGCAAUCCUCCCCGAAAAACUCUGUUUUGUAUGGAUCUCAACUCGAGAUACAAAUUUGAGAAAAUUCAACCUUCCAAAAUAUCAUCGCUACGGUAUAGAACUACGGACCACCAAGUUUUCAAGUCAUGCACUUAUUUGCAUCUUACUAUCUGGCGAUAUUGCUACUAAUCCUGGUCCUAAUACUGCCCCCUCUACCGGCUUAAAUGUUCUUUAUCUGAAUGCUCGAAGUAUUAAAGCUUUCGUCCCCCUUGAUGACGACCCUUCACGAAAAGUUUGCAAAAUGUCCAUACUACAGG